rnacentral:tRNA from 1 species
GCCUGGGUGGCUCAGUUGCCUGAGCGUCUGACUUCAGCUCAGGUCACGAUCUCACGGUUCGUGAGUUCGAGCCCCGCAUCGGGCU